AUUGAACGCUGGCGGCAGGCCUAACACAUGCAAGUCGAACGAGUGGCGGACGGGUGAGUAAUGUCUGGGAAACUGCCUGAUGGACGGGGAUGACUACUAGAAACGGUGGCUAAUACCGCUAACCAUGAGAUGUGCCCAGAGGGGAUUAGCUUGCUGGUGGGGUAACGGCUCACCAAGGCGACCAUCCCUAGCUGGUCGGAGAGGAUGAGCAGCCACACUGGAACUGAGACACGGUCCAGACUCCUACGGGAGGCAGCAGUGGGGAAGAUUGCACAAUGGGCGAAAGCCUGAUGCAGCCAUGCCGCGUGUAUGAAGAAGGCCUUCGGUUUGUAAAGUACUUUCGUCAGGGAGGCGUUACCCGAAGAGGAAGCCCCGGCUAACUCCGUGCCAGCAGCCGCGGUAAUUC
rnacentral:rRNA from 1 species